rnacentral:lncRNA from 13 species
CUUUCGUAGCAAAGAAAUUAACUGAGGUGCUCUUUAAAAAUAGGUCUGGCUUGUUUACAGAAUUGUUACUUAUGCAGUAAAGCAGAUCUACAGAUGUUUUCUUUUUUUCUUCUAGAUAAAACUUGGAUUGUUUGAAAAGUGGGGAGAUAUUUCACCACAGUACAAAAGGAGAUACAGAAGAGGAGAGCAGAAUGAGAGCUUUGCAAGUGCCACAUGCCUGCAGCCUGCUGUCUUUAGUGAUGCUGCUCCUUCCAGUCACUGGAACGUCAAAACAAAAUAUCCCAAGACUGAAGCUUUCCUAUAAAGGAGAGCUGGAAGUAAGCAGGACUUUGCUCUGCAGUUACUGAAUCUUCCAGUUGCAUCAAUCAGUGGUGGAUGGAGGAAGAGGGAGAGGGUAGGGUGGUUAAAGAUAUGUCUAUAACUGCAGGAGUGUUUCAAUAAACCACAGCAUGUCAAAGCUCCUUUGUGUUCAAACAGCAAUUAAAUUUUUAGACCUUCUCUGAAUGGCAGUUAAAGGUUUCCUUCUUCUCAAGGUUGUCAUCUUAACGAAUGGGAAUCUGUGCAGGAAAUGUUAAGAUAUUCCAGUGAGUGAUGAUGGGAUCAAUGUAAAGUCAUACAAUGGAUUUCCUUUAUUGUUUGUCCCAGUCUAAAGAUGUGUUCUAAAAAAUUGUGCAUGUAUAAAACUAAAACUACACACAAAUCAAUUAAAAUGUGUUGUAAUACAGAAUCAAAGUCAUAUGUUUUCCACCUGUGUUAACCGAAUACACUAUCAUCUUUAAUCACAUAUCUCAUCCUUUCACAUUUUCCCUGAUCC